AACGCGAAAGGCCCCUUCGGGGGCCGAGUAGAGUGGCGCACGGGUGAGCAACACGUAGGUAAUCUACCUCUGGGUGGGGAAUAACGACCGGAAACGGUCGCUAAUACCGCAUAAUGCAGCGGCACCACAUGGUGACAGUUGUUAAAGCGGGGGAUCGUAAGACCUCGCGCCUAGAGAUGAGCCUGCGGCGGAUUAGCUAGUUGGCAGGGUAAUGGCCUACCAAGGCAACGAUCCGUAGCCGGCCUGAGAGGGCGGACGGCCACACUGGCACUGACAUACGGGCCAGACUCCUACGGGAGGCAGCAGUCGGGAAUUUUGGGCAAUGGGCGAAAGCCUGACCCAGCAACGCCGCGUGAAGGAUGAAGCUUUUCGGAGUGUAAACUUCAUAAGAAUGGGACGAAUAAGGAGGGGUUAACACCCCCUUUGAUGACGGUACCAUUUGUAAGCUCCGGCUAACUCCGUGCCAGCAGCCGCGGUAAUACGGGGGGAGCAAGCGUUGUUCGGAUUUACUGGGCGUAAAGGGCGCGUAGGCGGCGCAACAAGUCACUUGUGAAAUCUCCGGGCUUAACCCGGAGCGGCCAAGUGAUACUGUCGUGCUAGAGUGCGGAAGGGGCUACUGGAAUUCUCGGUGUAGCGGUGAAAUGCGUAGAUAUCGAGAGGAACACCUGCGGCGAAGGCGGGUAGCUGGGCCGACACUGACGCUGAGGCGCGAAAGCCAGGGGAGCGAACGGGAUUAGAUACCCCGGUAGUCCUGGCCUUAAACGAUGGGAUGCUUGG
rnacentral:rRNA from 1 species